UCCGAUAUGGUGUAACGGCUAACAUUGCCGCCUUUCAUCGGAACGAGCAAAGAAAGGUUGCGCGGCAGCUCGGGGUUCGACUCCCCGUAUCGGAG